rnacentral:rRNA from 1 species
CCUGGUGUUUAGAGCGAGGUGGCACCACCCGUUCCCAUCCCGAACACGGAAGUGAAACGCCUCAGCGCUGACGAUAUUGUGCCCGCGAGGGUAUGGGAAAAUAGGCCAUCGCCAGGA